rnacentral:rRNA from 1 species
GACGAACGCUGGCGGCGUGCUUAACACAUGCAAGUCGAACGAAGUGGCGAACGGGUGAGUAACGCGUAAUCAACCUGCCCUUCAGAGGGGGACAACAGUUGGAAACGACUGCUAAUACCGCAUACUGAAGGAGGGGAUUGCGUCUGCUAAGCUAGUUGGCGGGGUAACGGCCCAGCAAGGCGAUGAUCAGUAGCCGGUCUGUGGAGAUGAACGGGCACAUUGGGACUGGGACACGGCCCAGACUCCCACGGGAAGCAGGAGUGGGGAAUCUUCAGCGAUGGACGAAAGUCUGACGGAGCAACUCCGCGUGAGUGAUGACGGCCUUCGGGUUGUAAAGCUCCGUUAAUCGGGACGCGGUACCGGAAGAGAAAGCCACGGCUAACUACGUGCCAGCCGCCGCGGUAAUAC